CCCUAGUGCAGCUGUAAACAAGCGGGCCAAAUCUGCUGGCUACAUGAUAUGACGAUUACGCCGUAGCCUGAAGCAGCCAACUAGUUCUACAUUUCUAGCAACAUUCUAUCAAGCACGAACUGGCUACAUAGAACGUUGAUAUUCAUAAAUAAAUCCAACCCACUUCAAUAGGUCUGAACACAGUCUGUGGGCGAGCAGAAUGUCUAGCUGACGGCCCUCCACGCAGGAGUGUGAUGAUUUGUAACUAUGCAGCACCAAUAUGGCCAUCGGAGUCUGAUGUUUCUGCUUGGCUCUGCCUGAGGACUUGUCCUUCACCAGCCUCAUCCAACCUCAACACAACAUAGCAAUUCUUAAUUACUAUUAUAACACUUGUUUAAGUUUUAACUCAGCCAGAAGAACCAAUGUGGUGAGCUGAAAUAUGGUUCAUUAUUGCCCUUGUUUUCCUGGCAAGCAGAUCAGGUGAUAACAUGUGACAAGAUUAUAAGUGAGAGAUGCCUCUUAAUGUGGUACGUUCAAUGUCUGCAAUCCCCUUUGACUUUAAUUAAAAGGUACUGAGUGUAGGCAACACCGAAGUACAUUCCUCAACUG